UGGGGAAUAUUGCGCAAUGGGCGAAAGCCUGACGCAGCAACGCCGCGUGAGUGAUGAAGGCCUUCGGGUCGUAAAGCUCUGUCGGAGGGAACGAAUGCUCCUGAAGUUAACAGCCUCAGGAGGUGACGGUACCCUCAAAGGAAGCACCGGCUAACUCUGUGCCAGCAGCCGCGGUAAUACAGAGGGUGCAAGCGUUGUUCGGAAUCAUUGGGCGUAAAGGGCGUGUAGGCGGUAUGUUAAGUCAGGGGUGAAAUCCUGGAGCUCAACUCCAGAACUGCCUUUGAUACUGAGAAGCUUGAGUCCGGGAGAGGUGAGUGGAACUGCGAGUGUAGAGGUGAAAUUCGUAGAUAUUCGCAAGAACACCAGUGGCGAAGGCGGCUCACUGGACCGACACUGACGCUGAGGCGCGAAAGCUAGGGGAGCAAACGGGAUUAGAUACCCAAGUAGUCCCUGAGCGGGCUGGCAAGGCGCAU
rnacentral:rRNA from 1 species